rnacentral:rRNA from 1 species
AUUGAACGCUGGCGGCAUGCCUUACACAUGCAAGUCGAACGGCAGCACGGGAGCAAUCCUGGUGGCGAGUGGCGAACGGGUGAGUAAUAUAUCGGAACGUGCCCAGUCAUGGGGGAUAACGCAGCGAAAGCUGUGCUAAUACCGCAUACGAUCUAAGGAUGAAAGCGGGGGAUCGCAAGACCUCGCGCGAUUGGAGCGGCCGAUAUCAGAUUAGCUAGUUGGUGGGGUAAAGGCCCACCAAGGCGACGAUCUGUAGCUGGUCUGAGAGGACGACCAGCCACACUGGAACUGAGACACGGUCCAGACUCCUACGGGAGGCAGCAGUGGGGAAUUUUGGACAAUGGGCGCAAGCCUGAUCCAGCAAUGCCGCGUGCAGGAUGAAGGCCUUCGGGUUGUAAACUGCUUUUGUACGGAACGAAACGGCCCUUUCUAAUACAGGGGGCUAAUGACGGUACCGUAAGAAUAAGCACCGGCUAACUACGUGCCAGCCGCCGCCGUAACAC